AUUGAACGCUGGCGGCAGGCCUAACACAUGCAAGUCGAACGAGUGGCGGACGGGUGAGUAAUGUCUGGGAAACUGCCUGAUGGAGGGGGCUAACUACUGGAAACGGUAGCUAAUACCGCAUACCAUCGGAUGUGCCACGAUGGGAUUAGCGAGUAGGUGGGGUAAAGGCGCACCUAGGCGACGCGCCCUAGCUGGUCUGAGAGGAGUACAAGCCACACUGGAACUGAGACACGGUACAGACUCCUACGGGAGGCAGCAGUGGGGAAUAUUGCACAAUGGGCGCAAGCCUGAUGCAGCCAUGCCGCGUGUAUGAAGAAGGCCUUCGGGUUGUAAAGUACUGUCAGCGGGGAGGCGUUACUCGCAGAAGAAGCACCGGCUAACUCCGUGCCAGCAGGCGAGGUAAUUC
rnacentral:rRNA from 1 species